AUUGAACGCUGGCGGCAUGCCUUACACAUGCAAGUCGAACGGUAACAGGUUAAGCUGACGAGUGGCGAACGGGUGAGUAAUGUAUCGGAACGUGCCCAGUCGUGGGGGAUAACUGCUCGAAAGAGCAGCUAAUACCGCAUACGACCUGAGGGUGAAAGCGGGGGAUCGCAAGACCUCGCGCGAUUGGAGCGGCCGAUAUCGGAUUAGGUAGUUGGUGGGGUAAAGGCCUACCAAGCCUACGAUCUGUAGCUGGUCUGAGAGGACGACCAGCCACACUGGGACUGAGACACGGCCCAGACUCCUACGGGAGGCAGCAGUGGGGAAUUUUGGACGAUGGACGCAAGUCUGAUCCAGCCAUGCCGCGUGCGGGAAGAAGGCCUUCGGGUUGUAAACCGCUUUUGUCAGGGAAGAAAAGGUUCUGGUUAAUACCUGGGACUCAUGACGGUACCUGAAGAAUAAGCACCGGCUAACUACGUGCCAGCCGCCGCCUAAUAC
rnacentral:rRNA from 1 species